rnacentral:rRNA from 1 species
CAGAAGGGAGCUUGCUCCCGGAUGUUAGCGGCGGACGGGUGAGUAACACGUGGGUAACCUGCCUGUAAGACUGGGAUAACUCCGGGAAACCGGAGCUAAUACCGGAUAGUUCCUUGAACCGCAUGGUUCAAGGAUGAAAGACGGUUUCGGCUGUCACUUACAGAUGGACCCGCGGCGCAUUAGCUAGUUGGUGAGGUAACGGCUCACCAAGGCGACGAUGCGUAGCCGACCUGAGAGGGUGAUCGGCCACACUGGGACUGAGACACGGCCCCAGACUCCUACGGGAGGCAGCAGUAGGGAAUCUUCCGCAAUGGACGAAAGUCUGACGGAGCAACGCCGCGUGAGUGAUGAAGGUUUUCGGAUCGUAAAGCUCUGUUGUUAGGGAAGAACAAGUGCAAGAGUAACUGCUUGCACCUUGACGGUACCUAACCAGAAAGCCACGGCUAACUACGUGCCAGCAGCCGCGGUAAUACGUAGGUGGCAAGCGUUGUCCGGAAUUAUUGGGCGUAAAGGGCUCGCAGGCGGUUUCUUAAGUCUGAUGUGAAAGCCCCCGGCUCAACCGGGGAGGGUCAUUGGAAACUGGGAAACUUGAGUGCAGAAGAGGAGAGUGGAAUUCCACGUGUAGCGGUGAAAUGCGUAGAGAUGUGGAGGAACACCAGUGGCGAAGGCGACUCUCUGGUCUGUAACUGACGCUGAGGAGCGAAAGCGUGGGGAGCGAACAGGAUUAGAUACCCUGGUAGUCCACGCCGUAAACGAUGAGUGCUAAGUGUUUAGGGGGUUUCCGCCCCUUAGUGCUGCAGCUAACGCAUUAAGCACUCCGCCUGGGGAGUACGGUCGCAAGACUGAAACUCAAAGGAAUUGACGGGGGCCCGCACAAGCGGUGGAGCAUGUGGGUUUAAUUCGAAGCAACGCGAAGAACCUUACCAGGUCUUGACAUCCUCUGACAACCCUAGAGAUAGGGCUUUCCCUUCGGGGACAGANUGACAGGUGGUGCAUGGUUGUCGUCAGCUCGUGUCGUGANAUGUUUGGGUUAAGUCCCGCAACGAGCGCAACCCUUGAUCUUAGUUGCCAGCAUUCAGUUGGGCACUCUAAGGUGACUGCCGGUGACAANCCGNAGANAAGGUGGGGGAUGAACGUCAAAUCAUCAUGCCCCUUAUGACCUGGGCUACACACGUGCUACAAUGGACAGAACAAAGGGCUGCGAGACCGCAAGGUUUAGCCAAUCCCACAAAUCUGUUCUCAGUUCGGAUCGCAGUCUGCAACUCGACUGCGUGAAGCUGGAAUCGCUAGUAAUCGCGGAUCAGCAUGCCGCGGUGAAUACGUUCCCGGGCCUUGUACACACCGCCCGUCACACCACGAGAGUUUGCAACACCCGAAGUCGGUGAGGUAACCUUUAGGAGCCAGCCGCCG